CAGUAAACAUGUACUGUACAUGUUUACUGCUGCCGCUGCUUUGUGUAUAUACCUUGAGGUGGUUUGUGUGGGUGUGAUUAGGUCUAGCGUACUAGAACUGCUGGACCAUGAGAAGAAGCUAACGGUCUUUAUCUUAUUACAGUGGAGGAGGGCACACUCUUUCACAUGGUCCGUGUUGUCAUGGUUACGCUAAUGUGACUAAUAGGACUGAUAUGGUUUUGCAUCUUUUGAGUUCAUUAUUUCAGCAGCUGGUCUUUGAACAGGCUAUGGGAUGAGCGUUUGAAUUGUAAUUACAGCUAUUAUGCAUGAUACAUCCCUCAUUAGAUAAUUAGCGUGUUCCUUACGGCUUUAUUAGAUUAGGUUUUUGUGGGUCCUUUUAUCUGGUUUACAACCAUGACACCUCCUGAUAGACUAUAGUGUGUUCUUCAUCAUGUACUGGUUCGUGAUCCUAAGGAUGAUAUCAACAUUUAUAAGGUCCAAUAAAGCCGGACUGGGUUUCUCAGGAAGCCUUCAGUCACUUGAAUCAGCCAAUCAGAGAGGAAGAGGAGGAGCUGGUCAUAAUAAGAUGCUCAAAAGAUAUCAAGAUGUUGUUGAGAAGGAGAAGAAAAGACAAAGAUUUUGACAUUCACUCACACACACAAGCACAUGAGACACAAUGAUAAUGAUGUCAUUUAUGAGCAUGCAAUUAUCUUAACUAAUUGUAUUAUUAAUAUUUAAUUGGAUUACAUGAUGGUACUCCUCAUUAUAUAAUGAUAACACUGUGUGUACACUCACUCAAUUUCAUUUAAUCA